UCUUGCCUGCCCAGUGACUAUAAGUUAAACGGCCGCGGUAUUUUGACCGUGCAAAGGAAGCGCAAUCACUUGUGUUUUAAAUGAAGACCUGUAUGAAUGGUGGAACGAGGGCUUAACUGUCUCCCUCAUCUAGUCAAUGAAAUUGAUCUACCCGUGCAGAAGCGGGUAUAAAAAUACAAGACGAGAAGACCCUUUGGAGCUUAAGACAAAAGACCAACUAUGUCAAAAAUCCUAAAAAUGAAAUUAAACCAAAUAAUACUGGUCCCAGUCUUCGGUUGGGGCGACCGCGGGAGAAAAUAAAGCUCCCAUGUGGACAGGGGAAAACCCCUAAAACUAAGGGAGACAUCUCUAAGACACAGAACAUCUGACCAUAAAGAUCCGGCUAUGUGCCGACCAACGGACCAAGUUACCCCAGGGAUAACAGCGCAAUCCCCUUCAAGAGUCCAUAAAGACAAGGGGGUUUACGACCUCGAUGUUGGAUCAGGACAUCCUAAUGGUGCAGCCG
rnacentral:rRNA from 1 species